UACAGAGGGUGCAAGCGUUAAUCGGAAUUACUGGGCGUAAAGCGUGCGUAGUCGGUUAUCUAAGUCGGGUGUGAAAUCCCCCGGGCUCAACCUGGGAAUUGCAUUCGAUACUGGAUAGCUAGAGUUCGGCAGAGGGAAGCGGAAUUUCGGGUGUAGCGGUGAAAUGCGUAGAUAUCCGAAGGAACAUCAGUGGCGAAAGCGGCUUCCUGGACCAGAACUGACGAUCAGGCACGAAAGCGUGGGGAGCAAACAGG
rnacentral:rRNA from 1 species